AUAAAGUUUUAUUUUAGCUUAAAAUUUUAUUAUUAAUUUAAUUUAUAUGCAAAUUUUUGUAUAAUAUAUAAUUAUUUUAAAAAUUAUUAUAUUUGAAAUUCGCAAUAAUUAAUAUUAUUAAUUAAAGAAAUUUAGAAAUAGUAAUAUUAAAUAGUAUUGACUAAAUUUGUGCCAGCAGUCGCGGUUAAACUAAUGAUACAAUUAAAAUUUUUAUAAUUUAAGUUAAAUUUUUAUUAAAUAAAUUAAAUAAGAAUAAAUUUAUUAAGUGAAAUUUUAAAUUUAUAAAUUUUUAAUAAAUAAUAUUGAAACUAAUAAAUUUUAAUUAUAAACUAGGAUUAGAUACCCUAUUAUUUAAAAUGUAAAUAUAAAAAUUAAGGUAGUAAUAGUUAUUUUCUUGAAACUUAAAAAAUUUGGCAGUAUUUUAGUCUAUUCAGAGGAACUUGUUAUAUAAUCGAUACUCCACGGUAAACCUAACUUUAAUUUGUUAUCAGUUUAUAUACCGUCGUUAUUAGAAUAUUUUAUAAGAAUAUUAAUUUUCAAAAUUUUAUAUUAAAAAAUAUAUCAGAUCAAGGUGUAGCUUAUAUUAAAGUAUAAAUGAGUUACAAUAAAAUUAUUUAUGAUGAAUAUAAAUUUGAAAUAUUUAUUGAAAGUGGAUUUGAUAGUAAAAUUUUAAAGAAAAAUUAUUUGAUUUUAGCUCUAAAAUAUGCACAUAUUGCCCGUCACUUUUAUUAUUAAGAUAAAAUAAGUCGUAACAUAGUAGAUGUACUGGAAAGUGUAUCUAGAAUGCA
rnacentral:ncRNA from 1 species